GUAUAUAUGACACCAAGAGUGUGUAGUAUUGCCUUCCUGUAAAAAACAGUGAGUGUAUUUCAGUAAUUUUGCCUGGCAACUUAUUUUCCCCCGAGAACUCACCUAUUCCAAAUACCCAUGUAUUGUUUCUGUUCAAUAUUAAGUUUUAAACCGUUAGCUCUCUGUAUACAUAAGUAUAGGCUUUAUCCAACAAGCCUCCCACUCCGUUCUAGAUCCUGGGGACCAGGAUAUAAUGGUAUGCACUGUAAACUUUCUCUGUUAUUCCCAUGGCAUGGCUCAGCUUCUCCCCUGAAGGAACUUUUAGGCUAUUCCCCAAAUCACCAAGGCUCUCCAACAUCCAAGCUACACAGGGAGCAAUCAUCUGGUUCAUACUUAUGUGUAUUGAAUGAGAAAGGUUAGAAUUUGAUCAACUUCAAGAAUAUUGAGUCAGGAGACAAGAUUCUUAUUGACAGGCACAAUGAACUUUAUUUCUAUUGAGCACAAUCAAUUAUAAUCCAGUAUGAGACUGUUUUAAGCAUUAACCACAAAGUCAAGGGCAGAACCUCCACGGCCAAUCAAACAAAAGACAAAACCAAAGUGCUCCUCUGGCCUCGUGCCAUGUGAUGUUCUAGAAAUCACUUCUGGAUGCUUCAAAUGGGAUUAAAUUUCUAGAAUAAUCUAUUUAUUCCUUUUCUUUUAAGGUUAAGUGUUGAGCCAGGCAAAUGCUGGCUGCCAGGAAAAAGAAAGGAUAGAAGGGAUAGAACACUCUGAAGCAAGGGAAGGACAGAUCAGUGUCUAUCACAAAUAUCAGGGUGCUUGAAGUCCCCCAGAAGAAUGAGAACCUACAAGUGUAAUGCCUUCCAUAACUGGAGUAACAAGGCUUCCUCAUUAGGCUCACCUUGAUAAAGUGGUCCGUAGCAGGUCAGAGUCUUGGCCUGAAUCAAAUUCACAGUACACUACAGUACACUGACCUGCUUUGUUUGAACCUUGGAGCAAUAAAAUCAUAGCAUAUCCUGGAAUUGUUGUCCAUCUGGAAAUUUAAAUCCACAGGAGAGAUAAGGAGCCUGAAGCAUUCAAACUGAAGUUCCUGUGACGCUCUCCAGCUGUCAAGGAAACUGAUCAAUGUUGGACCAUGCUGGAACAAUGUGCUUUGACAUUUUCAAAGCAUAUUUUAGUUGCAUGCUCUUUAAAGCACACAUAUACCUACACAGACACACACAUGUGUCUGUUAAUUACUGUUGGCUCAACCGAGGAUGAAAACAAAUGUGUAACUAUUUAACUGUAUCUUCUAACC